rnacentral:rRNA from 1 species
UACGUAGGGUGCAAGCGUUGUCCGGAAUUAUUGGGCGUAAAGAGCUCGUAGGCGGUUUUGUCGCGUCUGCUGUGAAAACUCGGGGCUUAACUCCGGGCCUGCAGUGGGUACGGGCAGACUAGAGUGCGGUAGGGGAGACUGGAAUUCCUGGUGUAGCGGUGAAAUGCGCAGAUAUCAGGAGGAACACCGGUGGCGAAGGCGGGUCUCUGGGCCGUAACUGACGCUGAGGAGCGAAAGCGUGGGGGAGCGAACAGG